rnacentral:misc_RNA from 1 species
GAUGAAGAACGUAGUGAAAUGCGAUAAGUAAUGCGAAUUGCAGAAUUUCCGUGAGUCAUCGAAUCUUUGAACGCACAUUGCGCCCUUUGGUAUUCCUUAGGGCAUGCCUGUUCGAGCGUCAUUUAAACCUUCAAGCUAAGCUUGGUGUUGGGUGACUGUCCGCUUCACUGCGGACUCGCCUCAAAAUUAUUGGCGGCCGGUACAUUGGCUUCGAGCGCAGCAGAAACGCGAACUCGGGCCCGUCGUAUUGGCUCCCAGAAGCUAUCUUCACAAUUUUGACCUCGGAUCAGGUAGGGAUACCCGCUGAACUUAAGCAUAUCAAUAAGCGGAGGA